UGUGGAAGGCAGCAGUAUCGUCUUUUGCCAGCAUCUGGGUCAUGUGUAAUGAGAAUGUGAGAGACUUGGGUCCUCUGAUGUGUCUUGUGACUCUGAAAAAAAUCAUUUAACUGCUCUGAACCUUUUUUUCCCUCAAUAUUACCUGUAAAAUGAGAGGAGCUAACUUCACAUAGUGAGGUGAGGAUUAGGCUGGUUGGUAUAGAUCCAUCUUAGCCCUGGGUCUUUUUACUUACAGCUAAUGCACAAGCUGAGUGUGGAAGCCCCACCCAAAAUCCUGGUGGAGAGAUACCUGAUUGAAAUUGCGAAGAAUUACAAUGUACCCUAUGAACCUGACUCUGUGGUCAUGGCAGAAGCUCCUCCUGGGGUAGAGACAGAUCUUAUUGAUGUUGGAUUCACAGAUGAUGUGAAGAAAGGAGGCCCUGGAAGAGGAGGGGGUGGUGGCUUCACAGCACCAGUUGGUGGACCUGAGGGAACGGUGCCAAUGCCCAUGCCCAUGCCUAUGCCAUCUGCAAAUACGCCUUUCUCAUAUCCACUGCCAAAGGGACCAGUAAGUAUACAUAAAUGUGGAUGUAAGCUUUAGAAAAUGUUAUAGAUGACAAGUUGGCUCUGUGAACACACUC
rnacentral:sRNA from 1 species